rnacentral:rRNA from 1 species
GAUGAACGCUAGCGGCAGGCUUAAUACAUGCAAGUCGAGGGACAGCACAGGUAGCAAUACUGGGUGGUAACCGGCAAACGGGUGCGGAACACGUACACAACCUUCCUUUAAGUGGGGGAUAGCCCAGAGAAAUUUGGAUUAAUACCCCGUAAUAUAGUUGAAUGGCAUCAUUUGAUUAUUAUAGCUACGGCGCUUAAUGAUGGGUGUGCGGCUGAUUAGAUAGUUGGCGGGGUAACGGCCCACCAAGUCUACGAUCAGUAGCUGAUGUGAGAGCAUGAACAGCCAGACGGGGACUGAGACACGGGCCCGACUCCUACGGGAGGCAGCAGUAAGGAGUAUUGGUCAAUGGACGCAAGUCUGAACCAGCCAUGCCGCGUGAAGGAUUAAGGUCCUCUGGAUUGUAAACUUCUUUUAUUUGGGACGAAAAAGGGCCUUUCUAGGUCAACUGACGGUACCAGAUGAAUAAGCACCGGCUAACUCCGUGCCAGCCGCCGCCGUAAGAC